GAAAGAGUCAGUGAAUAGGCUACAAAAAUCCUACAAUUGCCAAUUCCUCUCACUGAAACGUCUUUAUUUCAUGAGCCUCGAAAACAUGCUCAAAGUUAUUAAGACACUUUUGGAUUAGGCUUUAAGGGUGUCUUCAGGAAUUGCCUGAAAUCUCUUUUCAUCUUUUCAAGUCGAAAUAUGACUAAAUAUGCACCCUACAUUAACGUUAUACUAACUAUAGAUUAGGUUGCUUAAUUGGUCCAGAAGACCAAUCAAUGGCAAAAAAUGCUUAGCAUUUAAUGCAAAAUAACAUAAGAAUAUCAUGAAAAUACAUUAAGAUUUGAAGAUAGCUAAUAGAAUUCAUUCUCCAAUUAGGCUAUACAGAAACAGUUUUAUAUGCUUUAUAUUAUAAUUCAGGACGUUGUGGUGAGUCAUUGUCUCCCAUUAUAUUUAUAGGAGCUGUGGGAAAGUUUGAAAUCAUUUUCUCUAUAGGUUUUUAAUAUGCAUAAGUAUGGUAAUCGCGGUCCUGCUGUGUUGCAAACAGGCGCAGCAGAUCACACAUGUGCUACACAACUUCGGACCAUACGAAGUCGCCGAGUCCAAGUAAGUCCUGUUUUUCUCAUUGUCUGUUCGUAUAAAGAGAUAUAGCAGGGCUGUCUGAAGUUUAAUGCGGAAAACAUGCGAGCACAGGACAGCACGUGUGUUGACCCAUUGGGAGUAAAUCUUUACGCGUGUGCCCGUCUGACCACUUCUAUUGGGUGCCAGAUCAGUUGAGCAAAGGUUCACAAGAUGAAGAUCAGACGCUUUACGAGUAGGAACUAUGAAGAAGAGAUGCCUAAGAUUGCGCAAAAAGUUCUGGAAAAGAGUGGACUCGAAAGUAAACGCAAUUAUAUUAAUAGGAAGUGGAUAUUAGGCCUAAUUAUGACUUUAGCGGGCUGAAAAACUUGUGACCAUUACUUACCCACUGGAAGUGAGCAGGAGUAAACUGGCAUCAGUGUUAUCAAAAGAUAAUCCAACAUGAGUGAUGCUUCUGAGGAGGUGCGCUGCUCUUUGAUGUGAGAAAGGAAGGUUGAGAGAGCUCUCUCCAGCACAUGCCACCCUCAUUAGUGUCCAGCAGCUGAAGACGCGAGGUCACAAACCCAAUGAGUUGCCCAUUUCAUUCAGCUUUGCCGACAUGGAAAGAUGACCACUGUGACCUAAUGUUGCGGUGCGGUCUGACAGCACAUUGUGUGCAACAUACAAAGUAGCUUGAAUAACCCUUGAACCUUGUGUGGAGUGCAUUAUUUUUUAUGAAAUUGCUAUAGGGUCCAACUUUUCAACACUCUUGUAGAUUUUAUUCAUUCAAUAAAUUGUGCAUUUUUCUAAAAAAGGGAACAGGUCUUGUGAUUUAUUUGCUGAACUGUGGGUGAUGAAAUAUUUAAUAUCCUGGGUAUUAAAAUGAUCAGUCUCGGAUCCAUUGAGAGGGUUGACAUGGUUGAAUCAGUACCACACUAAGGGACUGCCACACAGGGAAUUAUUGCUUCAGUCUGAACAUGUCACCUCUACAAUAUUUCUACGAUUAUAAUGUACAAUUAUCCUUUCUUUCCGUU